rnacentral:rRNA from 1 species
UACAGAGGUCCCAAGCGUUGUUCGGAUUCACUGGGCGUAAAGGGUGCGUAGGUGGCGAGGGAAGUCGGAUGUGAAAGCUCGGAGCUCAACUCCGAAAUGGCAUUGGAAACUACCUUGCUCGAGGGUUGGAGGGGGGACUGGAAUUCUCGGUGUAGCAGUGAAAUGCGUAGAUAUCGAGAGGAACACCAGUGGCGAAGGCGAGUCCCUGGACAACUCCUGACACUGAGGCACGAAAGCUAGGGGAGCAAACAGG